rnacentral:rRNA from 1 species
GACGAACGCUGGCGGCGUGCUUAACACAUGCAAGUCGAACGGAAAGGCCCUGCUUUUGUGGGGUGCUCGAGUGGCGAACGGGUGAGUAACACGUGAGUAACCUGCCCUUGACUUUGGGAUAACUUCAGGAAACUGGGGCUAAUACCGGAUAGGAGCUCCUGCUGCAUGGUGGGGGUUGGAAAGUUUCGGCGGUUGGGGAUGGACUCGCGGCUUAUCAGCUUGUUGGUGGGGUAGUGGCUUACCAAGGCUUUGACGGGUAGCCGGCCUGAGAGGGUGACCGGCCAAAUUGGGCCGGAGAGCGGGCACGAACCCCUGGGGGGGGAACAGGGGGGAAAUUUGCAAAAGGGGAGGGAGGCCGGAUGAGGCACCCCGGGGUGGGGAGUGGGGCCUUUGGGUUUGAAACCCCUUUUCGCCUGGAACAAAGCGGGAGUGAGGGUAGUGGAAAAAGAACCACCGGCAAACUAGGGC